UAGCAUAUCAAUAAGCGGAGGAAAAGAAACUAACAAGGAUUCCCCUAGUAACUGCGAGUGAAGCGGGAAAAGCUCAAAUUUAAAAUCUGGCGGUCUUUGGCCGUCCGAGUUGUAAUUUAGAGAAGCGUCUUCCGCGCCGGACCGUGCACAAGUCUCCUGGAAUGGAGCGUCAUAGAGGGUGAGAAUCCCGUCUUUGGCACGGAUGCCUGUGCUUCUGCGAUGCGCUCUCAAAGAGUCGAGUUGUUUGGGAAUGCAGCUCAAAAUGGGUGGUGAACUCCAUCUAAAGCUAAAUAUUGGCGAGAGACCGAUAGCGAACAAGUACCGUGAGGGAAAGAUGAAAAGCACUUUGGAAAGAGAGUGAAACAGUACGUGAAAUUGUUGAAAGGGAAACGCUUGAAGUCAGUCGCGUCGACCGAGACUCAGCCUUGCCUUGGCUUGGUGUACUUCUCGGCCCGACGGGUCAGCAUCAAUUUUGCCCCUCGGAUAAUGACAAGGGAAAGGUGGCACCUUUGCGGGUGUGUUAUAGUCUCCUGUCGCAUGCGAGGGGUGGGAUUGAGGAACUCAGCGCGCACCUUGGUGUCGGGGCUUCGGCCCACGUCACGCGCUUAGGAUGCUGGCGUAAUGGCUUUAAACGACCCGUCUUGAAACACGGACCAAGGAGUCCAACACGCCCGCGAGUGUUCGGGUGGAAAACCCGUGCGCGCAAUGAAAGUGAAAGUUGGGACCUCUGUCGUGGAGGGCACCGACGCCCGGACCAGACCUUCUGUGAUGGAUCUGCGGUAGAGCGUGUGUGUUGGGACCCGAAAGAUGGUGAACUAUGCCUGAAUAGGGUGAAGCCAGAGGAAACUCUGGUGGAGGCUCGUAGCGAUUCUGACGUGCAAAUCGAUCGUCAAAUUUGGGUAUAGGGGCGAAAGACUAAUCGAACCAUCUAGUAGCUGGUUCCUGCCGA
rnacentral:rRNA from 1 species